ensembl:lncRNA
CAGAUCCAAAGCACAUACCAAUGUCCUACUGAGAGUUUCAACAACUGCCUGUGCUGCUCAGGGACUGACUCAAUCCUAUGGAUAGGAGCUGUCAGGGUAUAAGUUAAAUUUAUUAUUUUCAGAGCAGCAAUAAAAGCUGAGGCAAAGAAGGUGGAAGGAAGGGACAUUUGGAGUGAUGCUGUUUUUCUUCCCAAGAAAUUAUCACAUAUGAUAAACACUACUUUCUUGGGAGUGGGUAAACAUCUGCCUGCCAAUGGGAACUAGUGAAUAAAUUCCUUGUUUUGCUUUGUUUGUGCGUGCUGCAUUUGUUUUAUCUAGUAAGCUGUCUUUAUCUCAACCCACAAGUUCUCUCAUUCUUAUCUUUCCAAUUCUCUCCCCUAUCCCACCUGGGUACCAUAGUACCCAGCUGCCUGCCAGGGUUAAACCACAACAGCUGGUAUCUCUGAGAUUCCUGUGGGGCUCUGCACAAAGCCUGCUACAUAUUCUUCAUUCACUCACCUCCCAAACCAGUAUGAUUACUCUCAAACAAAAAAACUGAAGCUGAAAGAAUCUGAAUCUGAAUGGUUUGCAUUUGAGGGAAAUGCAAGAGUUAGUGAGCGCUGGUGUGUCUGCUUUUUCUAAGGGUUUUAUGAAAAAUUAAGAUUUCAUUUGAGAAUAAGAAAUUCAAAUCUCUACUCUUCUCUAUUUGAACAGGGACUGUGAAAGAGAAUCCCAAUAGAAUGCUUUAACCAUUGGAAUCAUAAAUCUGUCUGCAUUCUAGGAAAGGAAAGCCAGUUCCUUUUUUCGAGUGUCUUUGAGUGUCAUAGAAUCAUAGAAUUACUCAGGUUGGUAAGGACCUCAAGGAUCAUCAAGUCCAACCGCAGCCUAACCACAGUACCCUAACAACCCUCUGCUAAACCAUCUCUCUGAGCACCACAUCCAAACAGCUCUUAAACACAUCCAGGGACAGUGACUCAACCACCUCCUUGGGGAGCCUAUUCCAGUGUUUAACCACUCUUUCUGUAAAGAAGUGUUUCCUAACGUCCAACCUGUCUUGGUGCCCUGGACUUGCAUGCCUCUGAUCUGUCAGUACAACUCAUCUUCAAAUUUCCGGAAUGGCUGAUGCAGAAAUCAUGCAGAGAAGAGCCUGAUCCCCCCAAAAAAACAACUGUGAUAUAUUUCUUGAGCUUCAAAGAAUGGAGGAGCCCUGUGGAAAAAUAAUAAUUGGAAAUAAUAGUAAACAAAUGUAUUGAUUACCCAAAUUUCCCUACUGAAUGAACUGUUGGAUAGUUUCUGUCUAUAUUGACUCCCUAAUAGCUAGAAAUGAAUUCAGUGUCAGCCAGGCUAGUUAGGUAAUUGAGGUCAGAAAAUGUAUACACAAGUGGUAAAGAUCAAUAACUUGCAUACAGCAUACAGAUAGUAAAGUUUAUACCUACAAUGGAAACAUAAAUACAUAUAAAUUCGAUGCCUAUAUGUAUACUACAUAUAUUUACAUAAGUGUACAUAUAUAUGUGUAACUGCAUAAACAUUCAUUUAUAUACAUCUAAAUAUUCCACCCAACCCAAUGUAUCAUAAAGAAAACUGCCAUAAAAUAAUUUUUGCUUCUAAAAGAAUAAUAUUUUGUAAGAUAUGUAAACUACAGUCAAGUCUGUAUUGAACUACUCAAGAAUUAUUUGGUUAAAGGGUAAAUACACCUUGUAACUCAUAAUGAAAAUCUUAAAGGUAGGGGUGGAGAUUAACACUGCAGGCUGUCUACAGAAUAUUAAUAAAAUUCAAUAUAUUUUCUAAAAGGUGUAAUUUAUAUUUUGUGGAAAUGAGUCUCUUUUCUAAUAAAGUUCUUCUGUCCUUCAUUCUGUUCAUAUAAUUUUUCUAUAAAUCAUCCUGUAGGAUUUUUUUCUAAAUAUUCAUCUCAGAUAGAACCUAUUUAAAUAAGCCCUCUUAGCAAGAUAUUUCUGAAUUAAAAUUACACCAUGAGCAAUACUUUAUCCAAUAUGCUUCCUCCUAUAGAAUUUCUUUGUGACUAAAACAAUAUGUUGUCGAAUUACAUUAUGUUAAAAUAAAUGAUUUGAAGUGAUGCUCCC